AGAUGACUCUGUCAAAAACGUUGGUUGCAACUUAAAAUAUUCUACACAGCAGAAAGUGAUUGAUAUAUAGUGUUUAUCUUUUUUAUUGUUUUUAUUCCACUUCCUUGAUGAAAGGUUCAUCAUGGAACAUCAACAGGUUAAAGAUUUUAGUUUGCAUUAUCUGUUUUGUGAGAGACCAGAGUUUGAGUUGGAAGUGAUGUGUCCUCACCUCUUAAUUUCAUUUUUUUUGGGAGAAAUGGAAAGAGGAAUUUGAAGGCAAGAGAGAAAUGCAUAAAAAGAUGAUAGGCAAUAAAAUAUCAUAAUCCAACCAUGGACUCUUGUCUCCAAUACAAUUAAAUUAUGACUAUAUAAACAGGUGUUGGGUGAGAACAAAUGUUCUAAAUAACGAUCUUGUUUUUCACUAACAGAGGUGAAGGGGCAAGUCACCAGAGCCAAUAUAAAUACUCACAUGGGAGUCAUUAGCAGAGAGGCCAAAAGUGAGAAGGACCGAUGUUCAGGAAAACAUGGGAAGAAGAGAGAGAGUGGUAUUUUGGCCAGAAAACUUCCAUCAUAGACCUCGCAAUCUCUCUCCUUUUUCUUUUUCUGCAUUAUCCAGCUUCACACCCAACGAGCUUCAUCAUUCAUUCUUUCCAUUGAGGAAUUUCUGUGAAGAUUUCAACACUAACUACGCUACACUGGACUGUAUCAUCUUAUACCCGAGAGUUGGCACCUAUGAUACUGAUUUGAAUUGGAAUUGUUUGGAUACUUCUUACCCCCCAAGGUAUUUGAUGUAAAUUGUUGGGCACUAUGUUAUAAAAUCAUAGAUCAUAUGUAAAGAAUUCUCUCUAUUAAUUUUAUUAAAAGGAAGUUAUUGGUUUAAUGACCUGUAAUCUCUUUCUUAGAAUUCGGCCUCAUCACCCAUUACCUGUAGCAUGCCAUUCACUGCGACAAGGCCAAAUGCCUGUAGUUUUGUCAGUUGGUCUCGUACACACCUUACAGUUUUAAGAAAAACAAUUUUCCAUAUUCAUCAAAUAUCAUAAGUCAUGACCAUCAAAAUUUCAUAAAAUAUAAAAUUGAGAUCACCUCC
rnacentral:lncRNA from 1 species